UCUUAUCCUUUAUCCACAGUGUCAACAAGGCCGCGGGUAAAGCACCUCCACUACCACCUCCACUACCACCACCACUCCACAGCAGAUACUUUGUCCAUGAGGAUGCGUAUCUCCGGGAUGAGGCAAGGCGUGUAGUUGGUCCAGCCCCCCGCCAGCCCUUCCGCCAGCGUGCGUCCCUCCCAGUGGCCCGCACUCGUGCACCUCCGCUGAGCCACCUCUGUUGACGACGCUGGUACCUCAAACACUGAUGGCCAAGUAUAUGACAGUAGAUACAGCCGCCCGUCGGAGCCUAGGGGGUAGAGGAGCACGUGUUUCCCAAAUAUGUUCACUACCUGGUCUGCCUGCGUGACUAACCUGAACCGGCCGGCUUGACAGGUACGCGUGCCAGACAAUGGGCGAUAAAAAGACCCGAACGUGGCCAGGCGGUGUGCCGUGAGCCGUAAGGAGAAUGUAGCAGGGGAGCCAAGGACACCCCACCGCUCCUCCCUCCACCACCACCUGCUUCCGCCCGCCUCUCCGCCACCCCGCCUGCAGCUCCCCACGCCCCGAGCAUCGCACCACCUCUCCAUCACCUCUGCCU